GGAGGUCUUGGCGAUUACGAGUUAAUCAAUCCAAGAAGUCAGCAGAGGUCAUAGUACUUGAGGGCAAACGAGGUGCGAAUAGAUACCGCAUAGGUCUCACAAACAAGGAAGGAC
rfam:Bacteroides coprocola DSM 17136 Scfld_02_8 genomic scaffold, whole genome shotgun sequence.